GUAUCGCCGCCAUCUUGCUGGGACCCAAACUUUUGGAAUCGAUGAAAUAUUAGGAUAAACGUGACGGAGCUUCACCGGAGGGGGCGUACGGAGGAGGAACAGGGCCGACGAGCCGGCUGUGAGCGCUGACAGGCCCGGCGAUGGCGUUGGACCUGGGGAAAAGACUCCUAGAGGCCGCCCGCAGCGGAGAAGAUGACGAAGUGCGGCAGCUGAUGCAGAAUGGGGCGCCAUUCACUACCGACUGGCUGGGAACGUCUCCUCUCCAUCUUGCCGCUCAGUACGGUCACUUCUCCACGGUUAAAGUUCUACUUCAGGCUGGGAUCAGCCGAGACGCUCGUACAAAGGUGGACAGGACUCCCCUGCACAUGGCGGCCACUGAGGGACACGCUCUUAUCGUGGAUCUGCUGAUCAAGAACGGAGCCAACAUCAAUGCCAAGGACAUGCUAGAAAUGACGGCGUUGCACUGGGCCACGGAGCACAACCACCAGGACGUGGCGGACCUGCUCAUAAAGAACGGCGCCGACGUCAACAUCCAGAGCAAGUUUGGGAAAACGCCAUUUGAUAUUGCCCUUGACCGAAACUACCCCGAGCUCCUCAUUACCUUACAGGAAACCAUGCAAGGGCAGGGACACAUCCUUAUGCAAUCAGCAAGGGCCAACACGGUCAGUGUCUCAUCUCCACAGAUCAUCCUGGCACCCAGUCUGAUGUCUACAUCGGGUGUGACCACUUCCACAGCUGGCAACAGUGCAGGCACCUUUAGAAUUACUGACUCCAAUUCUGUGCUGGCCACGCUGGCGGCACUGGCAGAGGCCUCAACUCCUAUUUCUGGUACUGCCACAGGUUCCUCUACCGAACUUGUGACAGUGGAUUCUAUGGGCAAUCCUGUUGGUCAGAUUAUGGAGAAUGGAGGCCAGAGGGUGAUAACCAUUGUGACGGAUGGCGUACAGCUUGGUAACUUGCAUGGUGGGUUUACUGGAGAUCACAUGCAGCAUCCCCUUCUAGUGACUAUCCAGAAUGGACAGCAAGUUGUUGCCAUCCCUGGAGAAGACGUAAUAGAAGAAGUUGUUGUGGAAGAAGAAGUUCCCCCUGCCAAAAAACCUCGCACAGAACCUGUAGAAAGUGCCACCAAAGAGAAUACGGACACUCACCAUCAGGAGGACACCAGGAAACUAUUACAACAGCAGUUACAUGAAGCAAACGUCCGCGCGCAGGAAUACAGGCAGCAGCUCAUGGAGAAGGAGCAGGAGGCCGAGGAAUACAGAGUCAAGCUAGAAAACCUGGCCCGACAGCAUCUAAAUGGGGACAGCUUCAUGGUGGUGGAGGAUGGUGACACCAUCAUCAUCUCCACCGAGGAGUUACAGGGCACAGAAAUGACUGAGAUAGAGACAGUGGAACAUCACUGCGACAUUCCCAUGGAAAGUGUCGUCAUGUGACCAAGCCUCUUAUCGUUUUAGCAGGUUGGCGAACUUUUAUCAGGCAAGAAGAGUCUCCCGAGUGUUUGACGUCGCCUGAGAAAAAUUGAGCAGAGAAGUCGAGAGCGGCGCUAACUGCAACACUGAGCGAGAUGGACUUAUAUAUUCGUGGCGGUAAAAUCUACAUCGUUUUAUAGCUGAAAUUUUGGAGGUAAAUCUCCCACAAUAAGGCUAUGUUCACACAGUGGAAUCCACUCAAAUUCCAUUGCAGCGGAGUUCUGUUGGUUUUUAAUGGGAUUCUGCUGCAUCAUGCACAUGGCUGAAUUUCCAUAGUGGAAACAUCUGCUGUGAAAUUCCGGUUCCAGCCGCCGC